rnacentral:rRNA from 1 species
GACGAACGCUGGCGGCGUGCUUAACACAUGCAAGUCGAACGGUGAAGCGCCUUCCUUUUUGGUGGGUGUGGAUGAGUGGCGAACGGGUGAGUAACACGUGAGUAACCUGCCCCCUUCUUCUGGAUAACCGCAUGAAAGUGUGGCUAAUACGGGAUAUUCUGGGUCUGUCGCAUGAUGGGUCUGGGAAAGUUAUUGUUUCGGUGGGGGAUGGGCUCGCGGCCUAUCAGCUUGUUGGUGGGGUGAGGGCCUACCAAGGCGGUGACGGGUAGCCGGCCUGAGAGGGUGGACGGUCACACUGGGGCGGAGACACGGCCACGCCUCGUACGAGAGGCAGCAGUGGGGAAUACUGCACAAUGGGCGGAAGCCUGAUGCAGCGACGCCGCGUGAGGGAUGGAGGCCUUCGGGUUGAGAACCUCUGUCGCCAGUGAAGCAGGGCUGCCUCGUUUGUGGGUGGGUUGACGGUAGCUGGAUAAGAAGCGCCGGCUAACUACGUG